rnacentral:tRNA from 1 species
UGCGGGGUGGAGCAGUGGUAGCUCGUCGGGCUCAUAACCCGAAGGUCGUAGGUUCGAGUCCUGCCCCCGCUACUA